UAGGAACCGUGAGAUUAAGCCAUCGCGGCAGGUGCUCACGUUAAGCCCACUGACUUUCAUGUCCCUAUCUACUAUCUAGCGAAACCACAGCCAAGGGAACGGGCUUGGAAUAAUUAGCGGGGAAAGAAGACCCUUUUGAGCUUGACUCUAAUCUGGCAGUGUAAGGAGACAUAAGAGGUGUAGAAUAAGUGGGAGAUAUUAGACUUCGGUUUGGUAUCGACAAUGAAAUACCACUACUCUUAUUGUUUCCUUACUUACUUGAUUAAAUGGAACGUGUAUCAUUUCCUAGCCAUUAUACGGAUAUAAUUAUUAUGUCUUAUGGUAUUGGGUUUUGAUGCAAGCUUCUUGAUCAAAGUAUCACGAGUUUGUUAUAUAAUCGCAAACAAAUUCUUUAAUGAGAGAAUGCAUUUAUGUAUUAUUGAUUUAAAAAUUUGGUAUAACUCCA
rfam:Drosophila virilis strain TSC#15010-1051.87 Ctg01_2383, whole genome shotgun sequence.